CUCUAGAGUUGGUUCUUUGCUUUUUCAGGUGGCUUCUUGGAGCUAACUGGCCGAUGAUUUGGAAAAGCCACCCUAUUCACUCUUAAGGUAGAAAUUCAUCCUACCAUGUUGGAAACACAUGCCUCACUCUGCAACUAGAGGUUCUAGCCUUCUCUAGAGGGUGGCUUGGAGGAAACAUUGCUCACCGUACAAUGAAGAAGAGAUCCUCAUGACCAUCUGUGUGGGAUAUUGCAA
rnacentral:lncRNA from 1 species